GCAAAACCAAGGAGUUGGCCUGGGACUCCCAAAUGUAUAAAAGAAACCAAGAGGGCUCCCAUAGCAUUGUAUGGGUUUAUUAGGGAGGAUGUGCGUAUGGUGUCACAUAAACACAUUCAUUUCUCACACUUGCAUGCAGCCUUGAGUGGCAUCUAACUCACUAAAAUGAGUUACAUUCACUCCUCUUUCUCGUUCACUUGAAUCAUUAUCUCAUUUAAUUUAGGCCUUACCCCAAGUCCAC